rnacentral:rRNA from 1 species
UACGUAGGGUGCAAGCGUUAAUCGGAAUUACUGGGCGUAAAGCGUGCGCAGGCGGUUGUGCAAGACAGAUGUGAAAUCCCCGGGCUUAACCUGGGAACUGCAUUUGUGACUGCACGGCUAGAGUGUGUCAGAGGGGGGUAGAAUUCCACGUGUAGCAGUGAAAUGCGUAGAUAUGUGGAGGAAUACCGAUGGCGAAGGCAGCCCCCUGGGAUAACACUGACGCUCAUGCACGAAAGCGUGGGGAGCAAACAGG